rnacentral:rRNA from 1 species
UUCUCUGUAGAGUCUGCAUAUCAAUAAGCGGAGGAAAAGAAACUAACAAGGAUUCCCCUAGUAACGGCGAGUGAAGCGGGAAGAGCUCAAAUUUGAAAUCUUCAAGGUUUGACCUUGACGAAUUGUAGUUUAAAGAAGUGUUUUCGGUUAGAGGAGUAGUAAAAGUUCUUUGGAAUAGGGACAUCAUAGAGGGUGAGAAUCCCGUAUUUGGAUUAUUCAUUCUAGCUUUGUGAUACACUUUCAAAGAGUCGGAUUGUUUGGGAAUGCAGUCCAAAAUGGGUGGUAAAUUUCAUCUAAAGCUAAAUAUUGGCGAGAGACCGAUAGCGAACAAGUACCGUGAGGGAAAGAUGAAAAGAACUUUGAAAAGAGAGUUAAACAGUACGUGAAAUUGUCAAAAGGGAAGCGUUUGACACCAGUGUUGUUUUUCCGAAAAUCAAUUACAAAAUGCUUGAUUUUGUGUUGUAUUGACCUUAAUCAGCUUGCCUCACUUUUUUCGAGUCUUUCUUAAUGCACUUUUCGUUUAACAAGUCAACAUCUAGUUUCUUUUGUUGUAAAAGGAGUCAUUCGGAAGGUGGCUUUCUCUUCGGAGAAAGUGUUUAUAGCCUUGAUACUUCUAGCAAUCGGAGAGAUUGAGGUCUGCAGCGUAGAUCCUUCGGGGUUAGAUACAUUUGUGCUAAGUUGUAGCUUUUCAUAGACAACUUGUUGACUAUGUUUAGUCAUGUAGCUUACUCGUAAGUGCUAUUUUACCUACGCUUAGGAUGUUGAAGACUCUACAGAGAUA